rnacentral:rRNA from 1 species
ACGGGAGGCAGCAGUGGGGAAUAUUGGGCAAUGGGGGAAACCCUGACCCAGCAACGCCGCGUGAAGGAAGAAGGCCUUCGGGUUGUAAACUUCUUUUACCAGGGACGAAGAACGUGACGGUACCUGGAGAAAAAGCAACGGCUAACUACGUGCCAGCAGCCGCGGCAAUACGUAGGUUGCAAGCGUUGUCCGGAUUUACUGGGUGUAAAGGGCGCGUAGGCGGAGCUGCAAGUCAGAUGUGAAAUCCCGGGGCUCAACCCCGGAACUGCCUUUGAACCUGUAGCCCUUGAGUAUCGGAGAGGCAAGCGGAAUUCCUAGUGUAGCGGUGAAAUGCGUAGAUAUUAGGAGGAACACCAGUGGCGAAGACGGCUUGCUGGACGACAACUGACGCUGAGGCGCGAAAGCGUGGGGAGCAAACAGGAUUAGAU